UAUAUUUAACAUUACUAGCUAGUUAAGAUUUUCAGUGCUGAAACUAUAAUUUUAACCAAUUUAUCAAUCAUUUUUCCACAAGUUUGACUACUUUUCAUGACUUCCAUUUAGUGGAUUGUGUACAAAAUAUGUAUAAAACUAAAAGGGUAAACUACAAAAAAUAGCAUAAAAGUGUCAUUUGACAGCUUGUUGCUCUGUCAGCCGGUGGUAUAUCAUAGCAUGUGCUUUUGUGUACCCUAUUUUUAUUAAUAUUGAUUAAAAUUGAUUGAUGGUGAUUGAAAGUGAUUGAAAACAAUAAUGGCUUGGAUGCCAUGGUUGUGCUGGGCAAGUCAACCAAUGCGCCUGAGAUCCUCAAAGAUGCUGGCGACGAGCCGGUCUAUUCGUCGGCCACCGGCUUGAGUGAAUGUUUGGUGCGCUAUUGGCCCAGAUAGCUCAAAAGCAAGGAUACUUGCGACAACAGCCGGAGUUUCGUAUUUAAAUUGUAAAGCGACUCACUCAAAAGAUAGCCGAAACUGUCUUUCUUAUCAUGGCAAUGAAGGAUGAGGAUUGUACGUGAUUGUUGCAGCUCUCCAAAACAUGCCAAAUCCCAAAAUGUACACCCAGUAUAGUAUCUCAACAUUGAGCUAACUAUGUAGUGAACAAUAUGUAUGACGACACGCAGAUAGCCGAGGGAGCCCGGUUCUGGAAUCUCAUCUCAUCUCCUACUCGCGAUGAGGACUACAAGCUCCCCAUAUAGAGUGAGACCGAGUUGCAUUAGAGGGCAGGUUUUGUAAUAGUAUGUAAAGGCCUUUAAAAUGUA